rnacentral:lncRNA from 1 species
CACUGGAAAGAACAUCCACUGAGUACCAAAGGAUGAGACUUUUCUGCUGAUGGAACUUCUAAGUCUGCAUCAGGCUGCUUUUGAUUCUGAAAUGACAGUGUUAUUUGGUAGAAAGUUUCCAACCUUUGAAAAAGUGGUAUUUUAAAUAUAAGGAAUAGAGGUUAUACCUGGUUCUGAUAAAGUGGGUUUGCGUGGGCUGCACAAUUUGAGCACCAGUUCCUAUGUGUCAUUGAGGAAUGAGAUCACAGUAGCAAGGAAAAAGCCAUCAGAGGAUGUCUCAGUCAUCUUUUGCUUUAUUCUGACAAGCAAGAAAGUUGCUGCAUUAAAAAAAAAUCCUCCCCAAUGAAAGAGAAGAUAAAGAAGAAAAGAGGAAAAGAGAAGAGGGACAAAGAGAAUCACUUCCAGGUCAGUAAUAGUUAAGAGCAAAGGCAUUCAAGUCCCUGUUAAGUCAUAUGUUAGGACUUGUAGAUUAUUGACAAAAAGAAUCAUGGAUUGUCCUUAGUUAAAUAUAUUCUUAGAGCUAGUUACAUAAUUCAAGGUGUCCACCAGAAUUGUAGUAAGACACAUAUAAUGUUAUAAGAACAG